GAGUGCCCCUGAGCAGGGCAGGGGGAGGAAAAGCCACCAUCAGGGCCGGCCCGUGGGGCUUGGGGACAGGACACAAACAGAAACCGAGCCAGCCCCCAAGCUGUGCCCUGCCAGGGGUGAGGGCAUGGAGCAAGACACAGACGUGGCAGCACACGGGGGGCACUGAGCAGGACAAAUAAGGUUACACGGAGGGUUCAGGACAGGCUCCAAGGAAGUUUUCCUGUGAGGAACAGCACCAGGGCAGCAGUGCCAGUGAGCUGCCUGGCUGGACAUGAGGCAUGGGGAAAGUCCCCGGCCUGGGGCUGGAGGCCGGGCAGCCCCCGGGGGCCAUCCCAGCCCCGCUGUGAGCACAGCUCACACCCAGAGGGCUCCCAAAGCCCCGCGCCAUGGCACGAGGCAGUGACAGCGCCCAUGCCCGGUGAGCAGCCCAGUUCCUCACUUGUGGAGCCACUACAGCAGCUGCAUAGGGGGGAGUGAAACGGGGAAAUUUUGGGCAGAUUUCACUUUUAAAUAUGGGAAGUGCAUCGCCCUCCCCAUGCUGCCCAGCCAGUCAGAGCCCUGAGCUGGGGCUGGGCACCCGGCCCUCACUGGGGCGAUUUCCCUGAAAGUCGCCGUUGCGCCACCGCAGCCCCUGCUGCGCGCAGCCGCGUAGCAAAAGCAAACACCCGAGUGAGCAGCGUCUGUCCGUCUGUCCGUCCCUCCAGUCUGUCCGUCAUCCUGCUGGUCUGCUCCAUCAGGCAGCCAUGGCAGCGGCUGGCAUCGCUGCCAUCCUCAUCCUCACAGCACUGCCGCCCGCUGCGGCCGCUCCCUGCGAGCCCACACAGAGCCCGGCCAACGCGACGGCACCGGGGCUGCUGGGGACGUGGCGGUACGUGGCCGGGGCCGCCCAGCUGCCCCAGCACCUCCUGGAGCUGCUGCUCAUCGACCACGGCCACCUGCGCGUGGAGCCCUGGCGCCGGGGGGCAGGAGCUGCUCGUCACCCAGCACGUGGCCGCGGGCGGCCGCUGUCUCUCCAACAACUCCACCUACUUCCAGCUCCCUGAUGGUGGUGGAACAGUGCUGGUGAAGCACGCCAAGACCCAGCAGACCGUGGGGACGCUGCUGAACCUCAGCUCUGAGGACAUUUUGCUCAUCCAGCACCAACUGCAGAAGGAGAGGACGUAUUCAGCGCUGUAUCUCUAUGCCCGAAAUCAGACCGUGAGCAAGGCCCAGCGGGACGAGUUCACCCAGCACGCCCAGCGCCUGGGGCUCAGCGAAGGGGAGAUCAUGUACGCACCAUGGAGGCAGGAGCUGUGUCAAGUGGAGGAAACCCAAGAUGGCGGCGCCCAAGGCACGGCCCCCCCAGCCACAGGCCCAGAGCCACCAGCACCGAGCGGGGCCGGGAGCACGACAAGCCAGCACCAAUAAAUUCUUCACUCCAACACGUCACUGUUCAUUGCUGAGAGAUUAGGGCUCAGGAGUGCAAAAAAAGAGAUUGAGCACCCGAU
rnacentral:lncRNA from 1 species